AGCUCCAAUAGUCUAUAUUAAAGUUGUUGUAGUUGAAAAGAUUGUAGUUUGAUGUCUUUUGGGAGCAAUCAAUAUGGCACUUUAUUUAGUAGCUUUCAUUUUCUCUGAACAUCCUUUGAAAGAAUCAGUAUGGCAUUAGGUUAUCGGGAUGAAGAUGUCCAUAUUUUACUGUAAUCAGAUUAGAGUUUUCAAAGCAGGCUUAAGACAUUGAAUAUAUUAGCAUGGAAUAAUGAUAUAGGACUUUGGUACUAUUUUUUUGCUUUAAUUACCAUAGUAAUGAUUAAUAGGGAUAGUUGAGGGUAUUUUUAUUCCAAUGUCAGAGGUAAAAUUCUUGAAGUUUUAGAAGACAAACUACUGCAAAAGCAUUUACCAAUGAUGUUUUCA
rnacentral:rRNA from 1 species